rnacentral:lncRNA from 1 species
UAGAGAAAGGGGUUAGAGAAUUGUUUGGACUUUGAAUAAUUUCCAAGUUUUCCUGUUGGUCAUGUUACUCUGGAACACAGGAUUAACAUCUGGGUCAUCAAAAAAGAAAGAAAAAACAUAGCAAGUUAUGAACCUUGUAUACCAUGGGGCCUUGCAUAAAUAUGAAUUUCCACUCUAACAAAGGUUGAGAGAAUCUGUUUGAAUUUGUCAUAUUGUCAAUAAAGCAUUAUAUGUGGGUUAUUUCUGGAAAACAACAGGAUUUUUGAAAGUAACCAAUUAAUGCAAUUGCCUUAUAUUAAUGUGUGUGAGGAAAAAUCAGACUGAUAGU